rnacentral:rRNA from 1 species
UACGGGGGGGGCAAGCGUUGUUCGGAAUUACUGGGCGUAAAGGGCUCGUAGGUGGCCAACUAAGUCAGACGUGAAAUCCCUCGGCUUAACCGGGGAACUGCGUCUGAUACUGGAUGGCUUGAGACCGGGAGAGGUGAGUGGAAUUCCCAGUGUAGCGGUGAAAUGCGUAGAUAUCUGGAGGAACACCGGUGGCGAAGGCGGCAUCCUGGACCAAUUCUGACGCUGAGGAGCGAAAGCCAGGGGAGCAAACGGG